GCUGGGUCAAAUGGUAUUUCUAGUUCUAGAUCCUUGAGGAAUCACCACACUGUCUUCCACAAUGGUUGAACUAGCUUUUAUGCAUUGCAAAGUGACUACACAAAGUGACCUAUCCCUUGUCUCCUUUAUCUCUCUAGCAACCCUCCAGUUAUUAGGGCAGCUACUACUCUCAUCUUCCAUAUAAGAAGUGGGAACACUUUCAUGGAUGUUCUGGGACUCACAGUCCAAGUCCUGGUUCUUAGAGAGUUGGAUCCAGAUCCUGUGUCUUGUAGGUAUAUAGGUAUAUGUUUAUGCAUUGAAAUGAAAUAUGUACAACUAGGUCCUUCCCCGUCUCCCCUAUAAAGCCUAUAAAGUCUUCUAUGAAACAAAGUUAAUUCCAUUCUCAGACAGAGGCUCCCAGAAUCCAGUGUUUUGGUUGGUCUCCGCUACAAAUGCUUUUUCUGAUAUUUGUGUGUUUGCAAGUCCCUCUCUGAGACUUUCUAAAAUUUGAUUGUUAAUUGGCUGUUAUAUGCAUGAAGUUCUGGACUUGGUGUCCCAAGCUCUUUAUAGAUUUACUUUUUUUCUCCCCCUCCUGCCAUUAAAUAAUCACCCUUGAGCUUCUCUCAACUUACUCUCCAUCAAUAACCAUUGUAUUCGUUCCAUUACAGCCCUCCUAAAUACAAAACAAUGACGACAACAACAAACCAUUCAAACUUCCAACCAACUUCCCCUGAAGGCACAGAAGGUGAGACCUAAGGGAAAAGAAAUCCACCCUCUUUAACAUCAGCUAACAGCAUAGGAGUAAAUGCCUGGUACAGAGCCCAGAAUUCCUAUUUCACAUUCUGAUUUGGCACUUUCACCAUAAUGGGAAAAUCUCCUCUACUUUUCCUGUGAAGCUGUUUCUUCUCCUUCUGGAAGAUAACAGCAGGAUGAUAGAGGAGGUCAAAGGAUAAAGAGAAAGGAUGCAGCCUAUUUCUUCAUUUAUUUGACCAAUAAUGUUUGAAAAUGAUGAAGUCCUUGUCCUCAAGAAACUAACAGCCUGGGGUGAAGGGUGCAGGUGGGACAGAUGUAAAAACAAUUUCAGAUGCAGACGCUACAUGUGAUUAUCAAAGUCUGUAGAGUGGCUCAUGCCUGUAAUCCCAGCACUUUAGGAGGCUAAGGCAGGCAGAUCACCUGAGGUCAGGAGUUCGAGACCAGCCUGGCCAACAUGGUAAAACCCCAUCUUUACUAAAAAUACAAAAAAAUAGCCAGGCGUGGUGGCAGUCACCUGUAAUCCCAGCUACUCGGGAGGCUGAGGCAGGAGAAUCACUUGAACCGGAGAGGCAGAGGUUGUGGUGAGCUGAGAUCGCGCCACUGCACUCCAGCCUGGGCAACAAGAGUGAGACUUCAUCUCAAAAAAAAAAAAAAAAAAAAAAAAGUCUGUAAAGAAGAGGUCAUAAAGUAGGGUAGUAGUUUUUUAAAAUAUAUAUCUUCCUUUUCUCUACUUAUCAUGCUCAUGCUUUUCUCUACUUUCUUGAAAAAAAUGGAAUGUAUUUUUUAAACUGUGUUGACUUUCUGGUCUGCUGAUUAUAUUAUUUGUCGUUUGUGGGUCUAUUUUCUAUUGAUUGAUUUGCCUACUCUACACUGGACAGGGGGAUCCAGGAAGCCUUCAUAGGAGAAAUAACCCCAAUAAGGGGAAGUGUCCUCCAGGCAGCAAAACAGCACACGAGAGUAGGGUAGAGUGCAAUAGAACAGCUCAGGGAGCCUGAGAAAUUCCGUGGCACUGGAAGCUGGGUUAUGAAGGGGAUAUGUUUAAGGGCUAAGUCUGGAGAGGCAGGCAAUGGCUCAGAUGGUGAAGAAUGUGAUCUGUCAGGUAAGCAGGCAGAACUCAUCCUAUAGAAGGUAAAGAGCCUCUGGAGCGAUCUAAAGGAGAAAGUGUCUUUUGUUUUAAAUGCUCACUAGCUGCAGAGUAGAGAAUGGAUUGAGAGAGGUGAGCCUGAAGAAAGGCUUCUUCAAACCUGAGAGGCCAGUCUUCCUGGGUAUGGAAGACUAGUCUUCAGGUUGCUUCUGGCUAUCCCCAACAUCCUUACUCUCCAGAACUUUCAGAUGCUGGGUCCAGGGCCCAUUUCACUGAGCCCUCUGCAGCUGGAAUUUAUCUUGCCCCAGAGCCCAGCUGAACAGCACUGGGGGUGGGAGAUGUAAGCUGAUGGGAGAGAAACAUGGCAGGAAUCCUGGUUCUAGGAGAGUUGGAUCCAGAUCCUGUGUCUCGUAGGGAUGUAUGUGUGUGUUUAUGUGUAUAUGUAUGCGUGCAUGUGCAGACAUAUGUGUGUGCACGUAUGACACAUUGGAGUGUCUCUGUGGGUUUUUUUUCUGUAUUAAGUUAUAUGUGAAGUUCCAUUGGUGUGUCUGCACUAAAUCAUGAUGCAUAAGUCAGCGCACACAUCUCAACAUCUAUACGCCCAUGACUAUUAAUGCCUGUGUAUGUGUGAGGGCCUUUGCUGGAAAAUGCAUGUGUCUGUCCACAUACCUGUUUGCAAGUGGGUGCAUAUAUGUUAUACACAUAUACGUUUGUGUGUAUAUGGGUGCCGCACUGUGUGUGUGUGUGUUUAUGUGUGUGUGUGUGUUAAGUGUUAUAUAUAAAUGGAGGCAGGAUACAGAGUCUAGUUUAGAGCAUUUGCUUCAACGUCUGGCUACCUGGGUUCAAGCCCUGAAAUCAGCAUUUAAAAGCUAUAGGCCUUUGAGUAAUUAUCUUUUUAAAGCACCGGUUUACUCGUCACUAAAUUGAAGGUAAUAAUAGUGGCUACCUUCAAUGUCUAAUGUGAGGGUGGAAUGAUAUAAUGCCCAAAAUGCACUUAAAAUAAUGCCUUAUACGUAGGGGGUGUUAAAAAAUAUUGGUUGUUACAAAGUAAUUCAUGACAAUAAAUAUGUAAGUGGCUGACUUGAGGGUCUCUGAGGCUUUCUGCAUGUGCAUCUGUGCCUUUGGGCACGUGAGGUUGAUAUGUGUGUCUGUUAGAAUGUGUGUGUUGGUGUGGAUAGACGCCUCUGGGUAUACAGGCCUGUGUGGGGGGCUAAGUGGGCAUGUGUGUUUGUGGUUUGCCUGUGAGUGCCUCUAUGUGAGUUUGUGUUCUGCCAGGAUUGGGAACAUUCCUAGGGAAGGGAUUGUGUCUAAUUAAUUAUUGUACCCAGGCCCUUGGACCCGGGACAUAAAAACUGCUAAGCAAAUUUGUGUUGACUGAAUGAAUGAAUGAAGUGGACUGGACAUUCAGAGAUUGUUAUUCAGACAACAUGCCCAUUUGUAGAAAACAAAAAGGUGUAAAUAGCUAGCUAGCUAGAUGAUAAUUGAGUAGGGAGGUAUGUAGACGAUAGGUAGAUAGGAGGUAGAUGAUGAUAGAUAGAUAGAUACAUACAUACAUAGAUAGAUACAUAGAUAGAUACAUGGAUAGAUAGAUGACAGGUAGCUAGACAGAUAGACAGCUGAGAUUGGCUCUAAGUGGAAUCCUAUGUACUUUCUCCUGGAAGUUAUAUUAGAGUUCAUAUGUCUCAGGGUGCUCCAAAACAUCGGCUCUGGCAGCUCUGUGAGUUAUUAUGGAGUUGCUUUGAGGGCCUUCAGAGGAAGGAAUCACAGAAUGGGAGAGCUAAGCUCCCCACCUGACAUCAACAAGAAUCUAUUUGCUUUUAAUCUCUGGUUGUCCAAGUCGAAUUGUAAAGUUUCACUACUAUAAAUUUUUGAAAAUCUUGUUACAGACCAACCCCUUUUAUUCUACAGAAGGGAGCAGCUGAGCCUCAGAGAGGGGAGAAGGUUAGAACCUGACCUCUCUUUCAGGCCUGUUUCUACCAUGCCACCUGCCUUGGGAUGUAGUAAGUAUGACUCCGCUAACUCACUGGGAAACAGAAUGCAAUUCUUCUCAGGAACCCGUCUUUUAGAGAAGCCACUAUCAUAGUGGCCCUUGGGAUGUCUGUCCAAGAAAUGACCCCAUUUGUGUCAGACCUGCCCCAUUAGGUCAGCCCCUUUGGCUAUGUGCUAGAUGGUCCCAGUCCCCUGGCCCAGACUACUGGACCCUGACCCAAGCAGCAAAAUCAAAUUCCCUGAUGCAAUUUGGAGGUGGGAUAGCAACAUGCUAACCAGUCUCUGUUGGUCCCUGAAUUAGGAAGUGAUGUGAAGCUAGAAUGUCCAUAUUUAAUCAAGGGAUGAGUGAACAGGAAAAGCUGGCUUCAGAGACAUAAAAAGA
rnacentral:lncRNA from 1 species